rnacentral:rRNA from 1 species
GACGAACGCUGGCGGCGUGCUUAACACAUGCAAGUCGAACGGAAAGGCCCUGCUUUUGUGGGGUGCUCGAGUGGCGAACGGGUGAGUAACACGUGAGUAACCUGCCCUUGACUUUGGGAUAACUUCAGGAAACUGGGGCUAAUACCGGAUAGGAGCUCCUGCUGCAUGGUGGGGGUUGGAAAGUUUCGGCGGUUGGGGAUGGACUCGCGGCUUAUCAGCUUGUUGGUGGGGUAGUGGCCUACCAAGGCUUUGACGGGUAGCCGGCCUGGGAUGGUGACCGGCCACAUGGGGACUGAGAUACGGCCCAGACUCCUACGGGAGGCAGCAGUGGGGAAUAUUGCACGAUGGGCGGAAGCCUGAUGCAGCAACGCCGCGUGCGGGAUGACGGCCUUCGGGUUGUAAACCGCUUUCGCCUGUGACGAAGCGUGAGUGACGGUAAUGGGUAAAGAAGCACCGGCUAACUACGUG